AGCGAACGCUGGCGGAAUGCUUAACACAUGCAAGUCGCACGCCCUGGCAACAGGGAGUGGCGGACGGGUGAGUAACGCGUAGGAAUAUAUCCGAAGGUGGGGGAUAACCCUGGGAAACUGGGGCUAAUACCGCAUGGGGCCUGAGGGUCAAAGCCGCGAGGCGCCUUUGGAGUAGCCUGCGUCCGAUUAGCUAGUUGGUGGGGUAAAGGCCUACCAAGGCUGCGAUCGGUAGCUGGUCNGAGAGGACGAUCAGCCACACUGGGACUGAGACACGGCCCAGACUCCUACGGGAGGCAGCAGGUGGGGAAUAUUGGUCAAUGGACGCAAGUCUGAACCAGCCAUGCCCGCGUGAAGGAUGAAGGCGUUAUGCGUUUGUAAACUUUCUUUUAUCUAGGGAAGAAACCUUAGUAUUCUUACUAAGCCGACGGUACCAGAGAAUAAGCACCGG
rnacentral:rRNA from 1 species